GCACCAUAUUACAAGUGCUUACUCAAGAUGAGAAAACCAUUGAGAUCGUAGGUGAAAGACACAAGCCAAAACCACAUUUUGAUGGAUGAUUACACAGGUUUCAGAGCUAUUUAAGCUACUCAUAGUGGAGAAGGCAUUGUAGGAAGACUCCAUCCUUGAUGGAAAGAGAGAGAGAGCUGGUGGCGAUGAGAUGAACCAAUCAGGAAACCUGAAGUUAAUCACAGAUGCCUAUCGUGCCCUUUUUCCACUAGCCUCAUUCCAUCUCCUAAAGGUGAGAUGCUGUGAUUCACAGAGGAACCCUACAUGUGCAUCUCCAUGUAGUUGACAGGGAUGAUACUUGCAUUUCUUUGGAAGCCUUGAUACAGGUCUAGAUUAUAGAGAUUUUUGGAUUUUCAUGAACCCUAGAUGCCAACAAUGUAAUCCUUACCCUUACCUGGAAGCUCUACGAUUUGAUUCCAAGUUACGAAUCCAGAGUUUAUGAAAUCUCAAUUGAGAGGAAAAUUCCUCCUUGGGAAGCAGCCCAGCAUGGUGAGAAGGCAUGGAAGAACUGGAGUUUCCCAUCUGUGUUGUAUUACUGAUUUUCCAUUCUCCACUGAGUGGUUUAGGGCAAGCAUUUCAACCUCUUUACAGCCUUCACUUUUUCUUGUUCAUUAUAUAAAAAUAACAUUGUUUUCUCUCUUCAAGGAUUGAAAUGGGAAUGAUCAAUUAUUUUGACAAUAACUGUCAUAUACUAACUGCUCAAUAAAUAUAUAAGUUCUUAAA